rnacentral:rRNA from 1 species
GACGAACGCUGGCGGCGUGCUUAACACAUGCAAGUCGUACGGUAAGGCCCUUUCGGGGGUACACGAGUGGCGAACGGGUGAGUAACACGUGAGUAACCUGCCCACAACUUUGGGAUAACGCUAGGAAACUGGUGCUAACACUGGAUAUGUGCUCCUGCUGCAUGGUGGGGGUUGGAAAGCUCCGGCGGUUGUGGAUGGACUCGCGGCCUAUCAGCUUGUUGGUGGGGUAGUGGCCUACCAAGGCGGCGACGGGUAGCCGGCCUGAGAGGGUGACCGGCCACAUUGGGACUGAGAUACGGCCCAGACUCCUACGGGAGGCAGCAGUGGGGAAUAUUGCACAAUGGGCGCAAGCCUGAUGCAGCAACGCCGCGUGCGGGAUGACGGCCUUCGGGUUGUAAACCGCUUUCAGCAGGGACGAAGCUUUUUGUGACGGUACCUGCAGAAGAAGCACCGGCUAACUACGUG